UUUAACUCCUCUUUCAGUCUGUCUGAUUACAUCAAGAGCAGAGGGAGCCUUGCAUGACAGGAGAGGGCUGAGAAUCUGCUGCCUCUGGAUGGAGUGAGAACUGCUCAAGCAGUUCCCAUCUCUGCAUGUGACUUGUCAAGGGAACUUUUCUCUGAUGCUCACACGAUGCGGGAACUUGUCACAUCUUCCAUCUCUGGGAACAUCCUCACCUGAAAUUGAAAGGUGGAAGAGGCUUGAGCAUGCUACAGGAAGAAAGAAGAAGGGGAGAGGCUGAAGGAUUUCAUUCAUGCAUGCACUCAGCCACCCAUCCAGCUCUCACUGAUCCCUGGGCAACUGUGUGAAGAUGGAGAAGGAGCUGCAGCCAACUGUAGCCACCACCCUGCCCGGCCGGCUCUGACCUGGAACUCCAGCCUGGCUCUCUCAGGUCAUCAAGGCACAGAGGACUGGCCAGCCUGAUUCAGAUGUCCUACUCUUUUGCAAUUCUUCUUGGGGAUGUCCUGAUCUCAAGGCAGCAGUGGCUACAAAAUAGACGUUUAUAUUCAACUCUCCCUAAGCACAGAGAUAUGGCCCAGCAAGCCUUAGCAGAGGAGAAGACAGGGUGAAGGUUAAUGGCCAAGGCAGGGGUCGGGGAAGGCAAAGCGAGACCUGACUUUGUGGCCUUAACAGGACAGAAUUCAGCCUCCAGGUACUUUCCUGGCAGCAGGGCACUUCUCAACCUGCCUUCUCAAAGGCUGGGAACUUAGCUGGAAUCUUGGCUGGAACCCCUCAGCAUUGCUAGGAAGUGCCUUUUAACCUUUACCCUAGCCAAACAGCCCUUGCUGAUUUUCACCACAUCAAACCUCUUUAAAUGCAAACCUUUUCUAUCUUUCCCUUUUGUUUGGUCUGUAUCUUUAACAAUCUGGUUAAAAUAUCCUUCAAGUUCUGGCGAUGACACCUCUGAAGACGCCUGGCUAAUCUCACUUGAACCUGAAGACAAUGGUACAAGGUCAUGAGAGCCCAGGGAUGAAGUUAAUAUGGUGAUGGCGUCUUGCUCCUGGAGGACCCAGCUUAAUGAGGGUAGAACAAAGGCAGUGAAGGGUGUAAGGAUAUUACACAGCUGUGUUCCGUGAGCUCUUAUGAAGGCUGUGGAAGGGAUCCAGGCAGGAUGGCCUCAAAUUAAGAUUUUAAUGACUCUUCCAUUUAGAAAACACACUCUUGCUGUUAAUGCUGUCUUGUCAGAGUGAACACAUUAUAGAGAAGAGAUUUUUGGCAUGCCUUUCCCACUAAUGCUUAGCAAAUGCAUCGGAACUUUGCCAGCAAACUGCGUUCAUUCAUAGCAGGUGAUGUAAAAAGGUUUCCCUGAAUGUCGAACGAGUGUUCUCUGAACUGAAAUCUGAUGUUUUCGUCCAAAACCGAAAAGAGGAAAAAAACAGAAAAAAAAUUUAAAGGAGGAGUCUAUGAUGCAGCCUUGGUUUUCGUUAUCUGUCUACCACUAUGACUACUACGACCAAGUUUGCCUCUUCAGUGUGAGAACAACAGUUCUGUCUACAUGCACUUAGUGGGUUCAGCAUGGGAAAAAACGCACAAAAUAAGCACAAGUUAUAAAUAACCAUAACGUUUUAUUACCAUUAAGACUAAACUUGUAUUGAAAAGAUUUUAUAUAACAAGACAAGAAAAGCAAUAGCAAAUUUAACUAUCAACUAGAUUAUGCAUAGCGAGUAACUGUUUCUAUUACCCAGGGAAGAGCAGGAAUCCUUGUAUUUUUUUGUUUUGUUUUUGUUUAAAUAUAUAACCGUACAAAGCACAAACAUACUAAAAUGCUCAGUGCACUGGACGUGGGAGAAUGCUCCCUCAGUCAUUUUGUUCCCUUAGCUCUGUUUUGUUUCCCCAAUCUGAAUUACAUUAAAAUAAAGACCCAGUUGUUUUUAUUUUUCUACUGUGCAGUAAGAAAAAAUAUUCACAACAAACAUGACAAUAUAUCAAACAAUAGUUCUACACAAGUUACCUUGAUACCUCUUGAACUGUCACUUAAAUAUCAUAAGAAAACAUUUUAAGACAUAUACAAACGAAACUAGCCAAGUGUUACAACUUAUAAUAAAUUAACCCAAAGAAAAAAAUAACUUUAUAUAUAUAUAUUUAUAUUGUAUAUACACAUACACACACAACAGAAUGACACAAUAAUAUGCUUCUUCCCAUAGUUUAAGUAAACAAAUAAGUAGUCUAGCCAAUCUAGCUAUAUUUGAUCUCGGCCAUAGGCAUCAUCACGUCGAUUAAAUAAAUAAGUGUUUCAAGCAACAUAAACAGUGUUUCAAAUGUACCAACACAGCCCAAUUCUAUCAGCAUGGGCUACAAAGUGAAUUUGAAAAUUCCUUAAUGAAUUUAAAGCAAACGUAUCUUUUGUUUUCCUCUCCUAAACACAUUACAUUUAACUAUGAUACUAAGAUAUGUAAAUAAUUUCGUAGCACCUACUGCUCAAACUAAGGAAGUUUUAGAUCAAAAGGAAAAUUAAUCUUUUUAAUUUUUGUUCUGCUGACAUCCCAUACUGAUGACUUAAAGAAAAACUGUCUUUCAACUCAUCUCCUUGCUUUUGGGUUUUGACUGUGGGGAACUGUGGUACCCUGGGUAGAACGAACACUCCUUUCCCCUAGUAAUUAAUAAUUUUUUAAUUAUUAUUACAUGCUAUGAAAAGAUAUGAAGAUCAUCUGUUUAUAGCCCAUCCUUCAAAAAACAGUCUACGAAUCCAGUUUAAAACACACAUCUUGAUCUCUAAAAAGUUACCAGUGCAGUAUGAACGCGACAAAGUUGUCAAUUUCCCCUAAAUUAGCCAGUCAAAAUAUUUUUUUCUCAAAUCCAGAUUCUCUUGUAAAAAUUCUUUAUAUUUUAUAAAAAUAGAUUUUUCUUGAAACCCAUUUUCAGCAAAGAGACCACCUCUUUGGCAACAAUGUUAAUGUUAUUAAAUUGUUAAUGUCAUCAGGUAUCCCCCUUGCCCCCAUCCCCUAACAGAAGACUGUUUUAGUUCACAUGAUAUAAAAGAAAAAAGGAAAAAUAAAAAAAUUUGCAAAAGUUUUUUUUCAUUUUUGCAAUUUUUAUUAUUCCUCUUUAAUCUGUGUGGGGUUUUUUUUU